rnacentral:lncRNA from 1 species
GAGACCACACCCUUCUUUUUCUUUAUCUGCAAAUCACCAUUCUUCAAAGUCAUAACAAACAUUUCUCAUUAUUCAUGUGAACCACUCACCUUUUCACUCAUAAAAACACAAAAUAUCACUUUUUCUUUUGAUGUUCUCAUGGAUCCAUCCUUCUCACCACAAAUCUUCAUCUUCAAUAGUCCAUCCAAACCUCAACCCAAU